rnacentral:rRNA from 1 species
UACGUAGGGCGCAAGCGUUGUCCGGAAUUAUUGGGCGUAAAGAGCUCGUAGGCGGUCUGUCGCGUCUGCCGUGAAAACCCGAGGCUUAACCUCGUGGCUUGCGGUGGAUACGGGCAGACUAGAGGUAGGUAGGGGAGAAUGGAAUUCCCGGUGUAGCGGUGAAAUGCGCAGAUAUCGGGAAGAACACCCGUGGCGAAGGCGGCUCUCUGGGACGGUACUGACGCUGAGACGCGAAAGCGUGGGGAGCGAACAGG